GUAGCCGGCCUGAGAGGGUGACCGGCCACACUGGGACUGAGACACGGCCCAGAUUCCUACGGGAGGCAGCAGUGGGGAAUAUUGCACAAUGGGCGCAAGCCUGAUGCAGCAACGCCGCGUGAGGGAUGACGGCCUUCGGGUUGUAAACCUCUUUUAGCAGGGAAGAAGCGAAAGUGACGGUACCUGCAGAAAAAGCGCCGGCUAACUACGUGCCAGCAGCCGCGGUAAUACGUAGGGCGCAAGCGUUAUCCGGAAUUAUUGGGCGUAAAGAGCUCGUAGGCGGUUUGUCGCGUCUGCUGUGAAAUCCGGAGGCUCAACCUCCGGCCUGCAGUGGGUACGGGCAGACUAGAGUGCGGUAGGGGAGAUUGGAAUUCCUGGUGUAGCGGUGGAAUGCGCAGAUAUCAGGAGGAACACCGAUGGCGAAGGCAGAUCUCUGGGCCGUAACUGACGCUGAGGAGCGAAAGGGUGGGGAGCAAACAGGCUUAGAUACCCUGGUAGUCCACCCCGUAAACGUUGGGAACUAGUUGUGGGGUCCAUUCCACGGAUUCCGUGACGCAGCUAACGCAUUAAGUUCCCCGCCUGGGGAGUACGGCCGCAAGGCUAAAACUCAAAGGAAUUGACGGGGACCCGCACAAGCGGCGGAGCAUGCGGAUUAAUUCGAUGCAACGCGAAGAACCUUACCAAGGCUUGACAUAUACGAGAACGGGCCAGAAAUGGUCAACUCUUUGGACACUCGUAAACAGGUGGUGCAUGGUUGUCGUCAGCUCGUGUCGUGAGAUGUUGGGUUAAGUCCCGCAACGAGCGCAACCCUCGUUCUAUGUUGCCAGCACGUAAUGGUGGGAACUCAUGGGAUACUGCCGGGGUCAACUCGGAGGAAGGUGGGGAUGACGUCAAAUCAUCAUGCCCCUUAUGUCUUGGGCUUCACGCAUGCUACAAUGGCCGGUACAAAGGGCUGCAAUACCGCGAGGUGGAGCGAAUCCCAAAAAGCCGGUCCCAGUUCGGAUUGAGGUCUGCAACUCGACCUCAUGAAGUCGGAGUCGCUAGUAAUCGCAGAUCAGCAACGCUGCGGUGAAUACGUUCCCGGGUCUUGUACACACCGCCCGUCAAGUCAUGAAAGUCGGUAACACCUGAAGCCGGUGGCCUAACCCUUGUGGAGGGAGCCGUCGAAGG
rnacentral:rRNA from 1 species